rnacentral:piRNA from 1 species
UUUGAGAUUGUGAUGUAGUAC